GGCUGGUCCAAGUGUAGUAGUGUUUACAACUAAUUAUGAUAAGCAGUUACAGAUUCCAUUCUUCUCCAUCCCACUGCUUCACUUGACAAGCCUUUA
ensembl:misc_RNA Y_RNA Y RNA